GCGGCCAGGCAUUAUUGAAAGUAUUCAUCUUGAUGGCUUAGUUAAAAUGCCUAUUUAUGAUGUUUUACUCAAAAUAGUAUUGGCUCGCUCACGAAUGGAUAGUGGACAAUACAUGAUUUUUUAUAUCAGAGGGAUAGCAUAUCACAGGAGCUUGAUCUAAAUCAUGGAAAUUGGCCGACGCCGUGUCAUUAUGGUUUUGAAAUUGCAAUACAAUCAUUAAUCGUGGAUGAAUCGUACUUGGGCGAUUUGGAAAGGUUCGGGUUCCUGGAUAACGAACGGUGUACGUGUUAGUUCAUAUGAAAGAAUGUCUACAACCGUCAAUAAACAUAUAUGGAAAAGGACUUGAAACGCGCACGCGCUGGCAAAUGACAUCCAGACAAAGCCAAUCGCAUCUGAAGUUUCUGCAAUCUUGGAUAGUUAUGGCAAAACGCAAAAGCUGUUGCCACGGCCACUAUGACUAAGGAGCAGGCAACAGAGUUGUCCAUUCGGAAGCGUUACUCCCACAUCAUGAACGGGGUACGCUCGAUAGAGCAAGCGUGCGUGCGUGUUUAUGUGUGCUUGUUUAGCACUUCACUAGUGAACCGGAUUUUAAAAAGACAGCUGCCAUGUGUAGUGCGGUGGUUUCAAAAAAAUGGCGGAUUUUCCGGAAACACAUAUUUUCUCAAACAUUUGCAAAUUUUCAUUCGAAUUUACAUGUUUUAUGGUUAUAAAAAUUGCACACAAAAAUGCGGCCACCAUUUUGUAGACGAUAUUCAAGAUAGCCAUGCACCGAUUCAAAAUGUCAAUUUAAUCUUCCAAAUCAAAAAAGAAAAUACUAGCUUAUAAAUACAACGCACUACAAUAAUUUGAUUUCGGAGAACUUUAAACUGUUGAGGCUUUAUAUUUAUUUAAGUAGACGUACUUCUCAUUCAUCGGUUACAGAUGUGCAGAUCGAUCAAGAAAGAAUUAAAAACAUGACGCGUGUAGCAAUAUCAUUAUUAAUAAGAGUGAUAAUUGCAAUUACGGUUGUAUUAUUAGUGUAAAUACCACUUUAUAAUUAUAAAUAGACGUGCUCGAGAAAGUGAGACACAACUUAUCAAGUAUUGCAUAAUCCAAUGUACCAUAUUACUUGGUAUUUCGUUGAGUGGAUGCCAAUAUCUGGUCUAUCUCUGGCUGAUCUAGAGCCUGAAGAUAUUAUACAAAGUUAACCGUCAUGCAUAUGUUUUCAUUUGCAAUACUUAACAAACGAUCAGUAUUGAAACUAUAGCCAGGUUUUGUGGAGCUUAAAUCCAGUAAGAAAUGGCUGAUUACUAUUUGAUGUUUAUUGCAAAUUAUGAUCAAUUGAAAAUUCUAUUUAAUUGUGUGUGUACCUGUUAUUGCGUAUUGAAGUCUUAUAUUUAUAAGUCGUGAUCAUUUAUUAAUUUGUUGUCUGUUUGGAAAUAUUGAUACAUUGAUUUUGAAUCUAAGGAGUUCAGACAUCAGACUGUCAAUAUUAACAAGCUAAGGAUACCCAAAACUAUGAUGAAUUGUUAGAGCCUCGCUCUGUGAAAAGAGGGUUU